rnacentral:rRNA from 1 species
AACGAACGCUGGCGGCAUGCCUAACACAUGCAAGUCGAACGAGACCUUCGGGUCUAGUGGCGCACGGGUGCGUAACGCGUGGGAACCUGCCCUUAGGUUCGGAAUAACUCCCCGAAAGGGGUGCUAAUACCGGAUAAUGUCUUCGGACCAAAGAUUUAUCGCCUUUGGAUGGGCCCGCGUUGGAUUAGCUAGUUGGUAGGGUAAAAGCCUACCAAGGCGACGAUCCAUAGCUGGUCUGAGAGGAUGAUCAGCCACACUGGGACUGAGACACGGCCCAGACUCCUACGGGAGGCAGCAGUGGGGAAUAUUGGACAAUAAGCGAAGGCCUGAUCCAGCAAUGCCGCGUGAGUGAUGAAGGCCUUAGGGUUGUAAAGCUCUUUUACCCGGGAUGAUAAUGACAGUACCGGGAGAAUGAGCGCCGGCUAACUCCGUG